AAUAUUGGGCAAUGGGGGAAACCCUGACCCAGCAACGCCGCGUGAGGGAAGAAGGUCUUCGGAUCGUAAACCUCUGUCCUUGGGGACGAAAAAAAUGACGGUACCUUAGGAGGAAGCCCCGGCUAACUACGUGCCAGCAGCCGCGGUAAUACGUAGGGGGCGAGCGUUAUCCGGAAUUACUGGGCGUAAAGGGUGCGUAGGCGGCCUUUUAAGUCAGAUGUGAAAGGCUACGGCUUAACCGUAGUUAGCAUUUGAAACUAAAAGGCUUGAGUGCAGGAGAGGAGAGUGGAAUUCCUAGUGUAGCGGUGAAAUGCGUAGAUAUUAGGAGGAACACCAGUGGCGAAGGCGACUCUCUGGACUGCAACUGACGCUGAGGCACGAAAGCGUGGGUAGCGAACAGG
rnacentral:rRNA from 1 species